rnacentral:rRNA from 1 species
CCUACGGGGGGCAGCAGUAGGGAAUCUUUCACAAUGGGCGAAAGCCUGAUGGAGCAACGCCGCGUGCAGGAUGAAGGCCUUCGGGUUGUAAACUGCUUUUAUAAGCGAGAAAUAUGAUGGUAACUUAUGAAUAAGGAUCGGCUAACUACGUGCCAGCAGCCGCGGUCAUACGUAGGAUCCGAGCAUUAUCCGGAGUGACUGGGUGUAAAGAGUUGCGUAGGUGGCAUAAUAAGUAGCUAGUGAAAUCUGGUGGCUCAACCAUUCAGACUAUUAGCUAAACUAUUAAGCUCGAGACCGUUAGGGGUAACUGGAAUUUCUAGUGUAGGAGUGAAAUCCGUAGAUAUUAGAAGGAACACCAAUAGCGUAGGCAGGUUGCUGGGACGGUUCUGACACUAAGGCACGAAAGCGUAGGGAGCAAACGGGAUUAGAUACCCCUGUAGUC